CAGAUCCUAACCCUCUGAAACUAUAAGCCCAAGACACACUUUUUUUAUACGCUGCUUUGGUCACGGUGUUUUACCACAGCUUCGUUGGUAUUUUGUUAGAGCUACAGGAAAGGUAGCUAACCUUACACACGCAUGGCCUGAAGCCCCGCACAGCACCGGUGCACCUGGCAUGAGAGUCGGUGCACAUAGCCUGCUCGUAACCCGAAGACGGCACAGAUUUAUGGGAUCACGGGGCUGAGAAACUUAGGGGAUCCCUUGACAACCUCUCCUAGGUGAGACCCCAAGAUUUAGGAAAUUGCAGGCUCUUGCCUAGGGUCACAUCUUGAGCAAUUAUUUGACCACUUUGACCCCAAUUCACAAAGGACUCUUCAUGCUCUGCUGGGAAAGGCCAGAACUGGAGUGUUGGAGCUGGAAACACUUGGCUCCUGCUCAGCCUCUCCCCGGGGCUUGAGAUCCCACAGCUCUCCAACUUGGAAGAACAGGUUGGAGUCUGGAGGCACCAGGCAUGUAGAAUAUUCUGGUAAUCCACUCAAUAUCAAUGCCUUUGCUCAAAACUGGAGCAGCUGGCACCUCACUGCAGGAAUGGUAAGAGGAAGUGGGUCCUCCCGCUUUGAGGCUGUGUCCUGAAUGGACAUCCUUCACCACGUCCCUCGCCAGGCUCUGCAGAGCAACCUAACAGCAAGAAAAGCAAAACCAGAAGGAAGGGGUGAGAGAAAAAAGCAAACAGUGAAUUGAAAAAUUAUUGACGGGCUGAUGAGGUGACUCAAUGGGAAAAGGAGCUUGCUACCAAGCCUGAAGACCCAAGUUCAACUCCCAGGACCCACUUGGUGGAAGUUGUCUUCAGUUUGCUCCACGAAUAUUCAAACACAAACAUGUAUAUACAUACAAGAUGGAUAAAAGUAAUUAAAAAAUAAACAGGUGA
rnacentral:lncRNA from 1 species